rnacentral:rRNA from 1 species
GACGAACGCUGGCGGCGUGCUCAACACAUGCAAGUCGAGCGGUAAGGCCCUUUCGGGGGUACACGAGCGGCGAACGGGUGAGUAACACGUGGGUGACCUGCCCUUAGCUCUGGGAUAAGCCUGGGAAACUGGGUCUAAUACCGGAUAUGACUCCAUAACGCAUGUUGUGGGGUGGAAAGCCUUGUGCGGCUAGGGAUGGGCCCGCGGCCUAUCAGCUUGUUGGUGGGGUGAUGGCCUACCAAGGCGACGACGGGUAGCCGGCCUGAGAGGGCGACCGGCCACACUGGGACUGAGACACGGCCCAGACUCCUACGGGAGGCAGCAGUGGGGAAUCUUGCGCAAUGGGCGAAAGCCUGACGCAGCGACGCCGCGUGGGGA